CACUACAAAAAAAGAUGUGAAUUGUAUCACUUAAAUUGUAUCACAAAAUUAAAUGAUACAGUUUUCAAUCAUUUAUUUGUAAAUGAUACAAAAUAUAGAUAAUUUAGUAUCAGUUAUAACAACUGAUGUCAUUUUUAUCAAAUUUAACAUCACUUUGACUAACUGAUAUAAUUCAUCUUGAUUAGCGUCACUUUAAUAAAACUGAUGCUAAAUUAUUAAGUUAUAUCAUUU
rnacentral:lncRNA from 1 species